AUUGAACGCUGGCGGCAGGCUUAACACAUGCAAGUCGAGCGGAGCGAGGGUGCUUGCACCUUAGCUUAGCGGCGGACGGGUGAGUAAUGCUUAGGAAUCUGCCUAUUAGUGGGGGACAACAUUCCGAAAGGGAUGCUAAUACCGCAUACGCCCUACGGGGGAAAGCAGGGGAUCUUCGGACCUUGCGCUAAUAGAUGAGCCUAAGUCGGAUUAGCUAGUUGGUGGGGUAAAGGCCUACCAAGGCGACGAUCUGUAGCGGGUCUGAGAGGAUGAUCCGCCACACUGGGACUGAGACACGGCCCAGACUCCUACGGGAGGCAGCAGUGGGGAAUAUUGGACAAUGGGGGGAACCCUGAUCCAGCCAUGCCGCGUGUGUGAAGAAGGCCUUUUGGUUGUAAAGCACUUUAAGCGAGGAGGAGGCGCUCUAGGAUAAUUACC
rnacentral:rRNA from 1 species